CAGCCGCCGCGGGAAUACGGAGGGUGCAAGCGUUAAUCGGAAUUACUGGGCGUAAAGCGCACGCAGGCGGUUUGUUAAGUCAGAUGUGAAAUCCCCGAGCUUAACUUGGGAACUGCAUUUGAAACUGGCAAGCUAGAGUCUUGUAGAGGGGGGUAGAAUUCCAGGUGUAGCGGUGAAAUGCGUAGAGAUCUGGAGGAAUACCAGUGGCGAAGGCGGCCCCCUGGACAAAGACUGACGCUCAGGUGCGAAAGCGUGGGGAGCAAACAGGAUUAGAUACCCGAGUAGUCCCUGUCUCUUAUAC
rnacentral:rRNA from 1 species